CUAGGGAGAGAUGGUGACCGCCUGUGGCUUCCUGAAGCACAAACCCCAACCGGGCCUGAGGCAGAGCGAGUUACCUGGAAACCGUGAGUCCUCGGUCUCUCCCUCUUCUCCCCAGCCCUUUCCUGCUUUCAGACCCUUCCAGGCUGAGUCUGGGCCUGGGCAGAUGGUGCCGCUGGCAGAGCAGAGCAGCCUGUAGCCCCUUCUGGCUCCUGGCGCCGAGCCCCUCAGCAGCCGGCUGUCUGCUGUCCAUGGAGUGCCGUCUCCCUCCUCUCUGCCCUCCAGGAUCUCAUAAGCCCAUUCACUCACACAUGGUUGAAAAAGCUCUGUCCCUUGAAAGCAGGGACCAAAAUAUUAAACCAAACUUCAACUUUCAUGCAUCGGUUAAGGACCAGAGAGCAUCAGUGACUUUGCCUCAUCACCAUCCAGCCUGCGUGACAGCCCAUCAUUGCAACCAAGUGGGAACAGAGUUGGUGGGACAUG